rnacentral:rRNA from 1 species
CCUACGGGGGGCAGCAGUGGGGAAUAUUGCACAAUGGGCGCAAGCCUGAUGCAGCCAUGCCGCGUGUGUGAAGAAGGCCUUCGGGUUGUAAAGCACUUUCAGCGGGGAGGAAGGCGUUAAGGUUAAUAACCUUGUCGAUUGACGUUACCCGCAGAAGAAGCACCGGCUAACUCCGUGCCAGCAGCCGCGGUAAUACGGAGGGUGCAAGCGUUAAUCGGAAUUACUGGGCGUAAAGCGCACGCAGGCGGUCUGUCAAGUCGGAUGUGAAAUCCCCGGGCUCAACCUGGGAACUGCAUUCGAAACUGGCAGGCUAGAGUCUUGUAGAGGGGGGUAGAAUUCCAGGUGUAGCGGGGAAAAGGGUAGGAAUCUGGAGGAAUACCGGUGGCGAAGGCGGCCCCCUGGACAAAGACUGACGCUCAGGUGCGAAAGCGUGGGGAGCAAACAGGAUUAGAUACCCGAGUAGUC